UACAGAGGAGCCAAGCGUUGUCCGGAUUGACUGGGCGUAAAGCGCACGCAGGCGGACGCGCGCGUGGGUGUGAAAUCUGGCCGCUUAACGGCCAGGCGCCAUCCCAUACGGCGUGUCUGGAGUGAUGCAGAGGUCGGUGGAAUUGCCGGUGUAGUGGUGAAAUGCGUAGAGAUCGGCAGGAACACCCAGGGGAAGCCAAGGACCUGGCGUGUGCUGACACUGAGGUGCGACAGCGUGGGAGCGAACGGG
rnacentral:rRNA from 1 species